UCUCACUGAAGACAUCCUUGAGGAAGACCAUGUCCUCUUUGUGAUUGGCAUCUGGACGCAGCUGUGAGGUCAGCAGGGCAAGCGUCUCAUGCAACCCUACAACGUACCUGCUCCUGCAGAGAGGACUGGCAUGGCUUCUUUCAUCGAUCAGGAAGGGGUUGACCUAAAAAAGAGGUGUUCUCCAAACUCAUCAGGCAUUACAGAAGAAGACUCAGAGCUGUUAUCUUGGGAAAAGGACGUUGCAAUAUUUGGGUGCCAAUAAUUGUGGCCAACGUGAACUAGAGAAAAACAUUUAUUUCAUAAAGAGAUUUCCCCCCACUUUCCAUUGUUUUACUUCAAUGAUAGGUAAGAAUUGUGUGAUUUUUUUUAAUGAAAAAUAAAAAAGGAUAAACAAUAUUGACUUGUUUUCAAAGCCCCCCUUGAUCAUAUUUUAACAAGGGUGUCAAUAAUGCUGGAGUUGACUGUAGAUAAACAUAAAAAUGUAAAGAUAAAUGUAAAAAGGACAGAAGAGCACAUGCAAAAACAAACAAAAGACAUGUUCUCCAACAGAAAUGUUUACGAUGCAUGGAUGUCAGAAUCCAGACACCAAAUAUCGAAAUUGAACUAGACCGGAGUGUGAGGAUCCAGACACCAUGCCCUGAACACUCAAAACAUAAAAACAUAACAGGGAUGUCACAAUCUCAUCACCGCUGACCAGAAACAAACUCACAAAGGUGAUAGGACCAUGACACCAAUGGCUCGUUUUUUUAUAAUAACCAAAUCAUGUGUUAUUUUUUUCUUUGUUUUAUCUUUAAUCUACAAAAUCAUUUAUGUAUUUUCAAUGUAUGAUUCAUCUACCAUCUAUCUCUCUUGCUGGUUUCUUCAAGGCUCUAGUAAUCUGUUUAAAUACCUGUAGUGGAUCGGUACAUCAAUAUUCCAUCACUUUUAAGCUUGAAACUUCAUAUAGUUCUACUGAGUGUGCAUUGCCUUGAUAAGAUUAAUGGAUAUUCAGCCAUGAUAAAGUGCUAGAAUAGAGGAGAGAGCGUGACUGGAAGAGAUGAGUGAUGCUCUUCUGUGGGUGCUGAGAGGCCACAGCAUGAACACAAAGCUCAGAGUGCUGUCACAACUUCCUCUUUUGCACUCUUUCUCCCUCACAAACACUCUCCCAAAGAAAUUCAGACGUGCCAUACUUUCACAGUGCCCAGUGAAACAGAAAUAGCAUUUCCACAAGCACUGAUCCAUCUAGAAAAGAGACGAGAGACAAAAAAUAGAAACUCUACUGCAGUUUUUCUUCCUCGUAACACUCAGCGUAAGCAGUGUUGUAACAUGGGGUGAGAUUUAUCAGUUGAACCAGUUAGAAAUGAGCUACAGUGAAGCUUACCUGCUGACAGUCUAGAAUGAAUGCUGAUGCAGAUGGACAUGUCAAGACUGAGCAAUGUGCUCAUUGUGAACACACUCAUACUUAUUUAGCUGGCUAAAAGCAAACCAAGCCACCAAUCCUGCAUCACCCUUGUGAAAAUAAUUAGAUGGAAAUCUGUGACUGUUCCAUGUAGUGACACAAUAUAACAUCGUAUGCACUUCCUGGUGUGUCUGUUGGGGAAAAAACAACAACAACAAACAACUGCAUCCAACAAGCUAUAUGAUUGCAGAGUAUACAUAAGGAUAUGGCAAAUCACAGAUGUACUGUAUUUAUGUAUAUAUAAAUAGGGGCUGAUAAGAUAGCUGCAGGCACAUAUAAUACUAUAAAACUGCAUUCAAUUCUCAGCAAUAUCAGAACAGUGACUGUGAGAUAUAAACUAAUAAUCCAGUCAUGACUACCACAGACAGGAAUCCACAAUCACUUUUGCUCUGAAGGAUGAUGUCAUUCCCACUUUAUGCUGUUCUGGUAAUGAUAUAAUUGGCAAAAGCUUUGUGGAAGCAAUACACAGGGGAAUGAGAUGUGUUUUUAAAGGUGUGUGUGUGUGUGUGUGUGUAGCUAGUAUUGAGAGGAAAAAAAGGGUUUUAUUGUUAGAGACUUUAUAAAUAUAUAGUAUAUCAUCAAAGGAAUACCAGUUUAAUGUGUUUUUACUGAAUAAAAGUAUUUAUUUUCAUAUAAAUGGUACUGUAUAGUUAAGCAUUGCUAUAUAACUGUAAUACAGCACUUACUGUAUUUUAUCAAAAAUAAUGUCUGGUUAAGUAUAAGUGUAAUGUUUGUGUUGUAUGGCUUGUUCACCUAAAAAGAUAAAUAUGAGUUUUGGCAUAAAUGCACGAACACGUCAUCAUCAUGUGUGCUAUUUCUGUCCAGAACAGCUUAGAGCCCUUUUCGUUUUUUGGCUUGGAUAUAAGAAAGGCACAAACAGACACACACACGCACACAAACUCUCAAAGACCUCUCUGCAACCUUAUUGGCUUUGAAAGUCUGUUUAGGUCACACAGAUAGUACAUCUGUUUGGCCUUCCUAAUUCUCGCAGAUGCGUGCUGAAUUUCAGACCGUCAAAUCCAGUAUGGUUGUUAAAAACUUUAAGGAUGUAUAAAACACAUUUAAUGUAAUUAAGUGAAUGUUGCUUUUCAUUAACAUUUUGUAAUUUUCUCAAUGUAAAAUACAUUACCCAUUCCCUGUUUUAUACUGUACGUUAAUUUCCCUGAAAAGUGAAUUUUGUUAAAGUUCAGGAAAACACUAGCAUGAACUAACACACACGUGACAUAAAAUACAAUUUAAUUUCAUUGAUGGUGCCUGGUGACUGAUGGGAAGGUUAUUACAAAU